ACACGCAUGACACACUGCAUAUCAAUAAGCGGAGGAAAAGAAACUAACAAGGAUUCCCUUAGUAACGGCGAGUGAAGCGGGAAGAGCUCAAAUUUGAAAUCUUCAAGGUUCUACCUUGACGAAUUGUAGUUUAUAAGAAGUGUUUUCUGUUAGUAGAGUUGGCUAAAAGUUCUUUGGAAUAGGACAUCAUAGAGGGUGAGAAUCCCGUAUUUGAUCAUUCUUUCUAGCUGUGUGAUACACUUUCAACGAGUCGGAUUGUUUGGGAAUGCAGUCCAAAAUGGGUGGUAAAUUUCAUCUAAAGCUAAAUAUUGGCGAGAGACCGAUAGCGAACAAGUACCGUGAGGGAAAGAUGAAAAGAACUUUGAAAAGAGAGUUAAACAGUACGUGAAAUUGUCAAAAGGGAAGCGUUUGACACCAGUGUUGUUUUUCCGAAAAUCAAUUACGAAUGUUUUGUUUUUGAGAAGUUAUGACUUCAUCGGCUUGCUUCUUUCUUUACGAAACUUUCUUAAUGCACUUUUCGGUUAACAAGUCAACAUCAAUUUCUUUUGUUGUAAAAGGGUAUGAGGAAGGUGGCUUUCUUUUCGGAGAAAGUGUUUAUAGCCUUGUGCCUCUGCAAUCGGAGAGAUUGAGGUCUGCAGCGUAGAUCCUUCGGGGUUAGAUACGUUUGUGCUAAGUUAUAGCUUUUCAUAGACAACUUGUUGACUAUGUUUAGUCUUGUAGCUUACUCGCUGACGCUAUUUUACCUACGCUUAGGAUGUUGAAGACUCUACAGAGAUA
rnacentral:rRNA from 1 species